UUAUAUUCAAAAGUAUCAGAUAGCGUAAAUGUAAUACACGAGUUGAGGUCUAUUUAUAGAUUACAAUUGAGGGUAAAAAGGUAAAAUCAAUACCCACGCAUGCUCCUUGCGUGGUCGAAGGGUAGAACAGUAAUUUUGCCUUUACGCGGGAAGUCUCCCGCGUCUCUGACGAUCCCACUGAUGGAGGUGAUCUCUCUGGCGAUGAUGACUUCUCUGACGAUGAUGAUCUCUCUGUCGAAGAUGACUUCUCUGACGAAUGUGAUUCCUCUGGCGAUGAUGACUUCUCUGACGAUGAUGAUCUCUCUGUCGAAGAUGACUUCUCUGACGGAUGUGAUUCCUC
rnacentral:lncRNA from 1 species